AUUGAACGCUGGCGGCAUGCCUUACACAUGCAAGUCGAACGGCAGCACGGGGCAACCUGGUGGCGAGUGGCGAACGGGUGAGUAAUGCAUCGGAACGUACCUUUCAGUGGGGGAUAACGUAGCGAAAGUUACGCUAAUACCGCAUACUCUGUGAGCAGGAAAGCAGGGGAUCGCAAGACCUUGCGCUGAUUGAGCGGCCGAUGUCAGAUUAGCUAGCUGGUGAGGUAAAGGCUCACCAAGGCGACGAUCUGUAGCGGGUCUGAGAGGAUGAUCCGCCACACUGGAACUGAGACACGGUCCAGACUCCUACGGGAGGCAGCAGUGGGGAAUUUUGGACAAUGGGGGCAACCCUGAUCCAGCCAUGCCGCGUGAGUGAAGAAGGCCUUCGGGUUGUAAAGCUCUUUCGGCCGGGAAGAAAUCGCACGGGCUAAUACCCUGUGUGGAUGACGGUACCGGAAUAAGAAGCACCGGCUAACUACGUGCCAGCCGCCGCAGUAACAC
rnacentral:rRNA from 1 species